UACAGAGGGUGCGAGCGUUGUUCGGAAUUAUUGGGCGUAAAGGGCGCGUAGGCGGUGCGGUAAGUCACCUGUGAAAUCUCCUGGCUCAACUGGGAGCUUGCAGGCGAAACUGCCGUGCUGGAGUGUGGGAGAGGUGCGUGGAAUUCCCGGUGUAGCGGUGAAAUGCGUAGAUAUGCGGAGGAACACCGAUGGCGAAGGCAGCCCCCUGGGCCAACACUGACGCUCAGGCACGAAGGCGUGGGGAGCAAACAGG
rnacentral:rRNA from 1 species